UGGUGGAGUGAUUUGUCUGGUUAAUUCCGUUAACGAACGAGACCUCUUCUUGCUAAAUAGUUUACGUUAAGCAUUGCUUAGUGUUAAACUUCUUAGAAGGACUUUUGGUCGAUUAGCCAAAGGAAGUUGGAGGCAAUAACA
rnacentral:rRNA from 1 species